UACGUAGGGCGCAAGCGUUAUCCGGAAUUAUUGGGCGUAAAGAGCUCGUAGGCGGUUUGUCGCGUCUGCCGUGAAAGCCCGGGGCUUAACCCCGGGUCGGCAGUGGAUACGGGCAGGCUAGAGGUAGGUAGGGGAGAAUGGAAUUCCCGGUGUAGCGGUGAAAUGCGCAGAUAUCGGGAGGAACACCGGUGGCGAAGGCGGUUCUCUGGGCCUUACCUGACGCUGAGGAGCGAAAGCGUGGGGAGCGAACAGG
rnacentral:rRNA from 1 species